CUUGGUGCUUCCUUCUUGAAUCUUGCUUGGAUGUGACUGAAUUUAUUUGUUUGGUGGCUACAGGACAGUUCUCCAGUUGGCUUAAUCCUUGGACUGAAACAAGAGAUUCUCUCCUCUUUCUUGCUAGUAGUUUUCAAGAGCAACUUGGCUGUACUGGGAAUACAACAUCCUGAGACUGGGGAGGGACUAGUCAGAAUAGCCCGGGGCUGAUUUUCUCUCUCUUGGAAACAGUAUGUCCUUAAGUGCAUUCACCCAGCAUGUCUUGUUUCUCCUGAGGUCAAAUAGUUCCAGAAAUCCUUGUGAACAUUACAACAUAGGUCCAAGUCUUUUGAACUUUUUAAGUCUGAUUCUUCCUAUCUACAAUAUGGGAAUCAUACUCAUUGGAGAUUAUGAAAUUUA